UUAAUCAAAGUGCUAAAACCAGAACUGCAAGAACAGAAGAAGAUAACAGUUGAUGACAUUUGGCAAACCUAUGACCAACAACAGAAAAGUGGAAGAGGUUAUUACCAAUGAUUUUGUGUAUAUGUAGAGUAGAGUGUGGUGGGGAGAAGCAGAGACUUAUGAAUUCUUCUGAAAAAAAAAAGGUGUGGUUGGUGUGUGGCAUGUUAAUUAUCAGACAGGAAUGUCAUUGGCCCAUGGCCAUACUGGUGCAUCACGUUGAAGUGGCUACCCAGUACGUGUUUUUCAGUGUGGUACUUAUUCUCUCAGUCUCUUUCAUCAAAGUGUUAUGUUACAUUGUUGUAAACAAACCAAAAGUGGUGGCGGGAGACAUCCACAGAGAAACAAUGAAACACACACUCACACAUGACAGGCUUCUUUCAGUUUCUGUCUACCAAAUCCACUCACGUAACUUUUUGUCAGCCUGGAGCUAUAGUAGAAGACACUUGACCAAGGCACCACACAGUGUGACUGAACCAGCACAGGAUUAAUCAUUAAGCAAAAUAAGCACAUGCUUAGGACAUCAAUGGAAGGAGGGGGCACCACAGAAAUGGUAAAUGGUUUACGGCA